AUUGAACGCUGGCGGCAGGCCUAACACAUGCAAGUCGAACGAGUGGCGGACGGGUGAGUAAUGUCUGGGAAACUGCCUGAUGGAGGGGGAUAACUACUGGAAACGGUAGCUAAUACCGCAUACCAUCGGAUGUGCACAGAUGGGAUUAGCUAGUAGGUGGGGUAAAGGCCCACCUAGGCGAAGAUCCCUAGCUGGUCUGAGAGGAUGACCAGCCACACUGCAAAUGAUACACGGUCCUGACUCCUACGGGAGGCAGCAGGGGGGAAUAUUGCACAAGGGGGGCAAGCCUGAUGCAGCCAUGCCGCGUGUAUGAAGAAGGCCUUCGGGUUGUAAGGUACUUUCAGCGGGGAGGCGUUACCAGAAGAACAAGCACCGGCUAACCCCGUGCCAGCAGCCGCGGUAAUAC
rnacentral:rRNA from 1 species